CAUCCUACUAAAAGUUCAUUUAAAGGGGAACAACUCUUGACUUCAUUUUGGCUGAUUAUGUCUAUUUGUCCCUGUAGGUUUCAACGAUGGACAAGGUGCAGAGAAAACCAUCGCUUCUGACGCUGUACUCCGUCCUGAAGGACUUCAGGGGGGAACAUACGGACUUUGAGGCCCUCGCCUCUUAUUACGAACAUCACUACCGGGUCGAAUUCGGCGAAGA